rnacentral:lncRNA from 1 species
UCUUUUUAGCUACUCUCUACUUUCUAAUAUUUCUAAAUCCUCCCCAAAUGCUUAGCCCCAAAUAAUCAGUCAUGAGUCUGAGGAGGACAUGCCAUGCCAUAUUUAAUGCAAAUGCUCAUGAUUAGUGAUAAUAAAAUUAAACCUUCAAGUAUGUUUUAGGAACUUUAAUCAACAUUGUUUGUUAAUCUGUGAAGUAAUUUCCAUGUAACCCGGAAGAGUUGGAACAUGCUCUGACUCUACCACACAUUUUAUGAUGACAUUCCAUCUGCCCUCACAAUAUGGUGAGGUCCUACAUUUCCAAGAAUGAUUGGAAUUAGUGUUGUAACUUUGACAAUAAAAUGCUACCUGACAAAGACAUCUUAUUUGUAAAUUUUAGCUUAAGUGUUUAGCUUCUUUUUAAAGAUUUUGGAAGUCCUAAGGGAGUCAAGAUUUGAGAAAAGUCUCUAGUAUUCAUUUGAUAUGCUAAAAUUUAGAGGUUUUUUUUUUUUUGGAGCAUGAGUAUAUGUAAAUUUUCUUAAAAUUUUAUCCAGAGCCAGUUUUUCAUGAUCACUUAAAAAUUAAAAAAAAAAUCUGUACCACAAGCACAGAUACACCCUUCCACACACAGACACAGAGACACACACACAGACACACACAGAGACGCACACAUACACACAGACACACACACAGAAAGACACACACACACGUACUCACACGUUCAUGCAUGUGUGUGUGUAUACAUGUUCAUGUUUGUAUGGGUGCAGGUGAUAUGUCAUAGAGAGAUCAGAAGGUGUUUUGAGGUGUCAAGCUGAAGAAUGUAAUUUAUCUGCAUAGACACAGAUAUUUUAUUGUUCUCUAAGUCACCAAUUAGGCUAAACCAUGUGGCCAGCAAACCACAGGGAUCCUCCUGCCUCUGACAUCCAACAAUUACAAACAUGUCUGGCAUUUACAUUAGUUCUGGGAAUUAAAACCAGGCACUAAUGCUCAUGAGGCAAGCACUUUACUAUCUCAUCCAUCUCCUUAGCCAACACUUGAUUUUUUUCCAGAACUGUAAACUUGUAAAACUAAUUGUCACCUGUGCCAUGAACAAGAACAGUAGCAUGAUUGUAAGAUACUCAAAGAUUAUUUAAUCCCUCAGAACUUUCAUUCAGCCAUACAAAAAUACUUUCUUAUGUGAAUUUUUAUCCAAACCACUUGUUCAUAAUCAACCUACUCAAAGUGCAAGUGAAUAUUUUUCACUUGAAUUUCAGAAUUUAUAAGACAGAUGUUGACAGUUGAUUUAAUCUGUAUUGAUAUAGGAUUUCAAAAGAUUUUUCCCAUGGUUAAAUCUUCACUUUAGGAUUUUUGUAUUUGAUUUUGCACUUGUCCCAUUAAUUAUUUCUUUUUCUUUAAAUAUCCAGGGAAAGUUGAUGGUCCUUAGUCUAAAAUUAUUUCUGGCAAAUGACCAAAAGAACAGAUUAUAUUUUUUCUUCAGGAAGAGUAUCAUCUGCAUAUCCUCCCCAAAGUCAGGAUUCUUGUC